UACGUAGGGGGCGAGCGUUGUCCGGAUUUAUUGGGCGUAAAGAGCGUGUAGGCGGUUCGGUAAGUCUGUCGUGAAAUCCUGAGGCUCAACCUCGGGCGUGCGAUGGAUACUGCCGGGCUAGAGGGUGGUAGAGGCGAGUGGAAUUCCCGGUGUAGCGGUGAAAUGCGCAGAUAUCAGGAGGAACACCAAUGGCGAAGGCAGCUCGCUGGGACGUGACUGACGCUGAGACGCGAAAGCUGGGGAGCAAACAGG
rnacentral:rRNA from 1 species